rnacentral:rRNA from 1 species
ACAGUCUGGCAAACAGUAUUCAUAAAGUUUGACCUCAAAUCAGGUAGGAUUACCCGCUGAACUUAAGCAUAUCAAUAAGCGGAGGAAAAGAAACCAACCGGGAUUGCCUUAGUAACGGCGAGUGAAGCGGCAAAAGCUCAAAUUUGAAAUCUGGCACCUUCGGUGUCCGAGUUGUAAUUUGAAGAAGCUACUUUGGGGCUAGUCCUUGUCUAUGUUCCUUGGAACAGGACGUCAUGGAGGGUGAGAAUCCCGUAUGGCGAGGAGUCUAGUCCUAUGUAAAGUGCUUUCGACGAGUCGAGUUGUUUGGGAAUGCAGCUCUAAGUGGGUGGUAAAUUCCAUCUAAAGCUAAAUAUUGGCGAGAGACCGAUAGCGAACAAGUACAGUGAUGGAAAGAUGAAAAGAACUUUGAAAAGAGAGUGAAAAAGUACGUGAAAUUGUUGAAAGGGAAGGGCAUUUGAUCAGACAUGGUGUUUUGCGACCCUCGCUCCUUGUGGGUGGGGAUCUCGCAGCUCACUGGGCCAACAUCAGUUUUGGCGGUAGGAUAAAUCUUUGGGAACGUGGCUUGUCUUCGGAGAAGCGUUAUAGCCCAGGGGAAUACUGCCAGCCGGGACUGAGGACUGCGACUUUUGUCAAGGAUGUUGGCAUAAUGGUUAAAUGCCGCCCGUCUUGAAACACGGACCAAGGAGUCUAACGUCUAUGCGAGU